GGGCCUGUAGCUCAGGGGUAGAGCGCUCGCUUUGCAUCCACCCAACAGACUUCCUUGAAGGGCGCGAAAAUGCGAGAGGCCUAGGGUUCAAAUCCCUACCGGUCCA